CAGCAAUGGAGAGUGGCAGACGGGUGAGUAACGCGUGGGAACCUUCCCUAUGGUUCGGAAUAGCUCAGGGAAACUUGAGGUAAUACCGGAUAAGCCCUUCGGGGGAAAGAUUUAUCGCCAUUGGAUGGGCCCGCGUAGGAUUAGCUAGUUGGUGAGGUAACGGCUCACCAAGGCGACGAUCCUUAGCUGGUCUGAGAGGAUGAUCAGCCACACUGGGACUGAGACACGGCCCAGACUCCUACGGGAGGCAGCAGUGGGGAAUAUUGGACAAUGGGCGCAAGCCUGAUCCAGCCAUGCCGCGUGGGUGAUGAAGGCCCUAGGG
rnacentral:rRNA from 1 species